GGAUCACCACAACAUGAGGGUACUAAAGGGUCCUCCCCAGCACUUGGAAGGCUGAGCUCCACGGCUGUAGGACCUUCCAUGGCAGUGUAGAUUGCAAGAGACAGUUGCAUACAGGAUAUAGCAUGGCAAUGGAGUGAAAGGCCUGCCUGCAAGUUGAAUGUGAAAGGGGGAGAAUUUGAGAACCAUCUGCUGAGUUUGGUGAGUGGGAGACUUGGAUGCCAGGCCAAAUGAACCAAAGGAACUGUGUGGUUCAACUCAUGUGACCAGAGGUGGAAACUAGACCCAUACAUCUCAUCCACCCUGACAAGUGAUUGAUUAAAAAUGGAUUACUGCCAUUAAUAUAAGACCAGAAGCUCUGAAACUGCAGGGUGAGAACAAAGAAUAGAUGCUAGGUAGAGUCACAGGCAAGAAGUUCGUGAAAAGAACUCCAGGAAUUUAGAAUGUCAUUCCAACCACCGUCAAAUGGGAUUUUUGUGGGAUUGAAAGCUUUAGCACAGCAAAGUGGAGAGAUAGCUUACAGAAUGUAAAAAACUCGUUGCUAGAUACACAAAUGAUCAUGCAUUGACAAUUAGCAUACAUGAAGAACUUAAAGCUGGAGAUAUGUAAGUGGCUUAUAGGAAGACAAAAAGAAUGCCAGCCUUCAGUCAUUCAGGGGAAUAUAAACCAAAGAUUACUUGAGAUGCCAUUUCACCUUAGUCAGAAUGACUGGCACUAAAAAGCAAAACCAAC
rnacentral:lncRNA from 1 species